CAUGUUUAGAGAGAAAGAGAG
rnacentral:miRNA from 1 species